GGCUUUGUAGUUUAAAAAAAACUUUAAGUUGCAGCCUUAAUGAUGGAGAAUUCCCAAAGCCU
rnacentral:tRNA from 1 species